rnacentral:rRNA from 1 species
GACAGAGGUGCCAAGCGUUAGGCGGAAUCACUGGGCUUAAAGCGUGUGUAGGCGGGUCCCUAAGUACCUUGUAAAAUCCCACGGCUUAACCGUGGAACUGCUCGGUAUACUGAGGAUCUUGAGCAACCUAGGGGCGAGUGGAACAAAUGGUGGAGCGGUGAAAUGCGCAGAUAUCAGGAAGAACACCCGUGGCUAAGGCGGCUCUCUAGUACGGUACUGACGCUGAGACGCGAAAGCGUGGGGAGCGAACAGG